rnacentral:rRNA from 1 species
UACAGAGGGUGCCAGCGUUGUUCGGAAUUAUUGGGCGUAAAGGGCGCGUAGGCGGCGUCGUAUGUCGGGUGUGAAAGCCCACCUCUUAAAGGUGGAAUUGCAUUCGAAACUACGAUGCUGGAGUACCGGAGAGGAUGGUGGAAUUCCUGGUGUAGAGGUGAAAUUCGUAGAUAUCAGGAGGAACACCGGUGGCGAAGGCGGCCAUCUGGACGGAUACUGACGCUGAGGCGCGAAAGCGUGGGGAUCAAACAGG